GCUCACCAAUAGCUCAGCUGGUAAGAGCACUGGUAAGAGCAUGAGACUCUUGAUCUCAGGGUUGUGGGUUCCAACCCCGCAUUGGGCA